GCGCCUGUGGCUCAGAGGAGUAGGGCACUGGCCCCAUAUGCCAGAGGUGGUGGGUUCAAACCCAACCCUGGCCA
rnacentral:tRNA from 1 species